CAGAAGCGCCAGGCUUGCGCGGAGCGGAGAGGAGAUGCGUGUAUAAAUAUCAGAGUGCCUCUUCUCUCCGCUAUAGCAGACCUGACACAUGACCUAAUUGUCCCUGUCACAUCUCCUGUGUCCUCACCAAGACCGCACUUCCCGAAGGAGUCGACUAGAAAACGGUUGGUUUAUUCUACAGGUUGGUGCGUCUCUCGAUCUCCGUGGAGUUUAUAAACUAACUACUAAACCUUUUGGGGAUUUAAAAACAACUCCAGCUCUCUGCGCGCCUCUCUUUUUCUCUUCGCUCGGCUCUUACUCCAGUGUCAAAGCCAAAGCCACCGGUGUAUCGGUAGUCUAGCCUGCUAAUAGGAAUACAACAGACUGCUUUGGGUCGCUGUGGACUGUACAUGCUGCAGAAAGGAGCGGCCAGUGCCAGCUGUGGCUGUAAGGACCAGAGGUGUUUGUUUUCAAGGUGCGCCUUUUUGCGGUUCGCUCAUCUCCUCCCAGUGCCAUUGAUCAGUGUCAAAAUAAAUCGGGCUACAAAAUAUACAUGUAUCCCUACAUGUAAUUAAUGCAAUUUACACAAUGCCAUCCUUAUAGACUUUGACCGUGCUUGACAGCAACAAUGGUACGGUAUCUGUGCGUUAACAACCGUAUCAUGUACCAACACGUUUCACCCGGCAAGCAAGCACAACUCGCGCAAGUGGUAGCAUUGUUAAAACCACAAAUUAUAUUUAUAGGGCUGGUUUGUGUAUGAUGUUGUAUAAUAUGAUACUGUGCAGCAAGGGUAGCCUAUGUUGUGUAUUUUCAAGCGCUCCGUUCGCAUGUGCCACUGUAUCUUGCGCUCGAUUCUCGUAACGUGCGCGCCCGGUUUCGCUGCCCUGGGUGCAUCAAGUGCACAGUCAUCAGAUUGAUGCGCCCAUAUACGAACCUAUAGCUAAUCGGUGAUGAUAUCGAACUCAGUCAGUAUUGGUGAGGUAAGAGCAGCGUUAGUUUAGUUUAUACUAGCCUAUGUACCCAACAGGUUCCUUCAUUAUCAGGAUAUGUAUGUGGAAUGGGUGAUGAGCACGUGACAGAGGUUUGACUGAGGCUGUAAGGACAUAUUAAUGAUGAAUAUAAGACUUGCUCAGAAUAUGACAGAGCUGUUCAAUAAGUGAAUGGAUUUCCUGCUGUAAUUGAAGUCUUUAGAGGGCUUAGUGGUCAGGGAAUAAGCAGUGUGCAUGUUUCUGUGUGUGUGUGUGUGUGUCAGAUUUAAGAAAGGGGAAAGUUAACCCUGUACUUCCCCCUCCUCCUUUCAGUCGCUCUUGUAAAAGAUGCAUAGCUAGCAGAGAUGACGAUGAUGAUGAUAUCAAAUCUCAGGAAAGGAAUGACCAUGACCGGAUUUCAAGGCCAUCAUUGACAAGAUCCCUGCAUGAGAGAACGAGAGAGAGACAGAGAGGGAGGGAGGGAUGUUUGGAAGCAACAGAGGUCCACAUUAGAGCCACAGAACAGGGAUUGAAGGAACACCCAUUGGAACCAUGUAAUCAGUCCUGGGAAUGUCAAAGCAUCUCAGAGAAACAGAUACCUGGGUUUGACUGACAGCCAGAGGUUGACAAACUAAUUGGUAUAUUCAGAAUGUACUCUAGGUUUCCACACAUAACCCAUAACCAAGGAGAGGAGAGAAAAAGGAGAGGAAAGGAGAAUGGAGAAGAGAAAAGGAGGACAAGAGAGGAGAUGAGAUGAAAAGAGAAGAAAGGACAGAUGAUGAGAGGACAGACGAUGAGAGGAGAGAAGGAGAAAGGACGGAUGAAGAGGAGAUAGGAGAGGAGAAGAGAGUCGUGAGAAGAAGUCAGGAAUACAGAAGGAAGACUGUGGGAACAAGAGUGGAUCCAGCCCGCUUGACUGUGGUGACAAGGUGAGUACACACAUACAGAUAUACACACACACAUACACACACAUAAACAAAUGCAUACACAAAUACAUACACAGCUUUAUCUGUGUGUGUAAGUGCUCCCCGACAGCGUGCUCCCCAGUAUUCUGCAAGGCACAGAUUCCACGAGUCGAUCCCCAGCACUGCAUGGUGUGUGUGUGUGUGUGUGUGUGUGUGUGUGUGUGUGUGUGUGUGUGUGUGUGUGUGUGUGUGUGUGUGUGUGUGUGUGUGUGUGUGUGUGUGUGUGUGUGUGUGUGUGUGUGUGUGUGUGGGGAAUAAUGGAUGUAUGAAAGUCAGAGACCUCAGUAGAAUGUGACUGCAGGGAGGAAUGAACAGAGGGCUGAGUCUUGUCUUUCAUCUGCCUGCUACGUGUCAAUCUCAUCUAGCUGAUGGCUGUCGUAUGGCACACAGUGUGUGUGUCUCUCUUUCUCUGUCUCUCUUUCUCUGUCUCUCUCUCUCUCUCUCUGUCUCUCUCUCUCUGUCCAUCUGUCCGUCCGUCCGUCCGUCCAAGGCCGGUUGCAGAUGCCAUUGUUGGUGCUGUCUGUCUGUGUCUCCCCAAGGCUUGUUUCUGAUGUUAGCUGGUUGGUUUAUCCUAGUAAUUCAGCAGUACCAGCCCCAGAUUUGUGUCUCGUGUUCUAAAUGAAUGUCGGAAAGCUGGAGAGGCAGAAUUGAUGACAUAUUUUAAUUUAGCUCUGCUCGGAUGAUAAGUCAUGUUGAGGUGAUUCUGAUGAUGCUAACGGCAUGUUUAGUGUGUAGUUGUUCACUUCAGCAUGUAUUACUUAUUCAAUACUUAUAUAAGUUAACAAGAUCAGUGUGUGUGUGUGUGUGUGUGUGUGUGUUAAGUGAGACCCCAGGGAUGUGUAUGUCUUCCUGAUGUAGUUUCUCCAGUCAUUGGAGGUGUGUGUGGUUUCAAUUUGUUUUAAGUCACCCCAGGACCCAUACAGAGUGUAUCCUAGCAUGGCCUCUUUCUUCCAUACAGGAUGUUCCUACUUUCAACCCCACUACUCUG